AAUGAUGUUUCAUAUAUUUUUCCCUCGUCUCGCCGCCUUGCCAGAUUCCCUUUGAUCAACUUUCUUCUUCUUUGUGCUUCUUCUCUCGAGAAUCUCUCGAUCACUCAGAAAAAUUUGAGGGUAUUUAUGAAGAAUCAAAAUGUUUUUCAGAAGAGAGGCCAAGAUGACAAAAGAAGAAAGAUGAGAAGCAAAAUUCUAAACGGAACGAGAGAAAUGUAGAAGAAGAUAGCGCGGUUGACAGUUUUGGAGAAGAUGAUGUUCAACAAUCAACAUAAUCAUCACAUGAUGAGUUGUCUUCUGUUAAAUGGUAGAUCUAAAAUUUUUCUCAUAGCCUGUAGUGAGAUGACAGCCUAAUUUCUGGGAGUAUACAUUAGAACAGCUCAAGUCGAGUCGACUACUAGGUUGAGUUGGUGGCAAUCUAUGAACAGAAUUGCAGUUCAAGGCUUUGUGUGGGGUAUCAAUUCGUUUGACCAGUGGGGAGUUGAGCUAGGAACAGGUUUGGUUACUCAGGUGAGAAAGCAAUUUCAUUCAUCAUGCACUCAAGUUUACUAGCUUCAGUUCUCUGUCUUCCCUGAAGCUGAGAUGUUACCAACAAAGUCUGUGUCCACUCUAGACACUUUUUGGCUUAAGGGAAAUGCCAAGUUCUUGCUCGGAAGCAUCAACCCAACCCAAACCUUGUGUGAGGUUUUCAUCAGUGAGCUUAUCAAGGGAAUAAAUUAGUUUUCCCUUCUUUAUUUUCUAGAUUAUCAGACUUUGUGUUUUCAUUAAUUAUAUGCAUUUUCCUAGAUUUUGAUCUUUUUUAGAAAAGUUGAGGCAUGUCCAAAACAAAUCAUUAAAAAAUGAAAUUCUAAUUUUA